CGACACGGUGACGAGAAUCAGCGCAGAUCGCCUGAGCAAAGAGGACGUGCGCGACAAACAGGAAAUGAAGGGUUAAAACUGGCUACGUCUGGAUUUUCCACCGACCGCAUUGUUGCUGCUUGUAAACAGCAAGUUCCCGGCUCUGAUUGAUAGAGGAGAGAAUACCACGUGGUGAAGGAGACAAGGGAGAAAACCACAGAGCUAGAAGAAAUGGGAGAACCAGAGCGUGAGUUCGCGAGAUGUGCACAACUGGAACCCUUCCUGGAACAAGGAUAUAAUGAUACAUUUGUUUUGUAAUGUAUCUUGAACCGUGGUGAGAUCAUAAAAGGAAGGGACAAAUAUCACACCACAUUAAGAUGUUGCUUUCAGCAGAGACAAA